rnacentral:rRNA from 1 species
GACGAACGCUGGCGGCGUGCCUAAUACAUGCAAGUAGAACGCUGAAGGAGGAGCUUGCUCUUCUGGAUGAGUUGCGAACGGGUGAGUAACGCGUAGGUAACCUGCCUGGUAGCGGGGGAUAGCUAUUGGAAACGAUAGCUAAUACCGCAUAAGAGUAGAUGUUGCAUGACAUUUGCUUAAAAGGUGCAAUUGCAUCACUACCAGAUGGACCUGCGUUGUAUUAGCUAGUUGGUGGGGUAACGGCUCACCAAGGCGACGAUACAUAGCCGACCUGAGAGGGUGAUCGGCCACACUGGGACUGAGACACGGCCCAGACUCCUACGGGAGGCAGCAGUAGGGAAUCUUCGGCAAUGGACGGAAGUCUGACCGAGCAACGCCGCGUGAGUGAAGAAGGUUUUCGGAUCGUAAAGCUCUGUUGUAAGAGAAGAACGAGUGUGAGAGUGGAAAGUUCACACUGUGACGGGAUCUUACCAGAAAGGGACGGCUAACUACGU